rnacentral:tRNA from 1 species
GUAGUGUAGGGGUUAUCGCGCCUCAUUUGCAUUGAGGAGGUCAGGAGUUCAAUUCUCCUCUUGUCCA